GUUGAGAUUAAUGACUACUAUUCUUUUCCUACAGCUUGCAUAGCAUUUUCUAGCACUGUGAGGUCUACCAAGAGAAGCUUCCUAUCUGUUCUCAAUCUUUUGUCUAGAAGAAACAGCUGAGAUGAAGACAGACAUUUUAAUUCUCAAAUUUCAAGUCAUUUUGGAAUAGAUGCUACAGAUACUUGGGCAUGUGCUUAUUACAUUAUCUGCCUGUGAAGUGGAAGUAGAGGCUUACAUGGAGCCUUGAACCAUAUCAUUAUUGGAGACACUUUCUGCUUCAUGAACAGAAAAUUAAUGUGAAGUGUUUCCAGUUCGCCAAGCAGAGAGCUACAACAAUUUCUGGAGAUGCUGGUGGGAUUGGUGAAUCAAGGAUGAACUCUCUCACUGGCAGCAAGGGAGUGGUAAUGAAAAGCAAAGCCUGAAGCUUGCAAACAUCAAAAUAUUUUAAUAGUAAAAUUACAUAGAUAUCUACACCACAUUUUAGCUUUAAAGAACUAUGAUGCAAAAACCGAUUUUCCACUCCUUAGUGUCUCUUGGCUCCCACUUCCAGUGCCGCCACCACCACACAUACAUAUUUUCGCUUCCACUAUUCCCCUACCCUUUCAGUAAUAUUUUCCUUGAUCCUAAUUCGCUUUUGU